GACGAACGCUGGCGGCGUGCUUAACACAUGCAAGUCGAACGGUGAAGCGCCUUCCUUCUUGGUGGGUGUGGAUGAGUGGCGAACGGGUGAGUAACACGUGAGUAACCUGCCCCCUUCUUCUGGAUAACCGCAUGAAAGUGUGGCUAAUACGGGAUAUUCUGGGUCUGUCGCAUGAUGGGUCUGGGAAAGAUAUUGUUUCGGUGGGGGAUGGGCUCGCGGCCUAUCAGCUUGUUGGUGGGGUGAUGGCCUACCAAGGCGGUGACGGGUAGCCGGCCUGAGAGGGUGGACGGUCACACUGGGACUGAGACACGGCCCAGACUCCUACGGGAGGCAGCAGUGGGGAAUAUUGCACAAUGGGCGCAAGCCUGAUGCAGCGACGCCGCGUGAGGGAUGGAGGCCUGCGGGUUGUGAACCUCUUUCGCCAGUGAAGCAGGCCUGCCUCGUUUGUGGGUGGGUUGACGGUAGCUGGAGAAGAAGCGCCGGCUAACUACGUG
rnacentral:rRNA from 1 species